UGUGGGAGCUGGCUUGCCAGCGAUGCGAGCGACUCGGUCUGUCGCCAAACCGGUUUGAUGCCAUCGCUGGCAAGCCAGCUCCCACA
rnacentral:misc_RNA from 1 species